AUACUUAUAUAGAAAUUCCCUAAAUUAUUUGCAAAAUAAUCUAUAAUAUUUCUU
rnacentral:tRNA from 1 species